UUCUCUAUUUAUUAAUUUGUGGUAAACGCCUGCUGAGUAGCUUUAACAGUAGUAAUCGUCUAAUCGCAGAGCAAAGUAAGCAGAGAGAGACAAGGAGAGAUGGAUUGGUGGGUAUCGAUGCCUAAGGUGGAACUUCACGCUCACCUCAAUGGAUCAAUCAGAGGUUCAACGUUACUUGAACUUGCCAGGGAUUUGGGUGAAAAGGGCGCCAUAGAUUUACGAGAUGUUGAGCACGUUAUUUUGAAGGGCGAUCGUUCUCUGCGCGAAGUGUUUAGGUUAUUUGAUUUGAUUCAUAUUCUCACUACUGAUCAUAAAACCGUUACGAGAAUCACUAAAGAAGUAGUAGAAGAUUUUGCGGCUGAAAACGUAGUCUAUGUCGAGUUAAGAACUACUCCAAAGCGGAAUGAUUCAAAAGAAAUGAGCAAGCGCUCUUACAUGGAAGCCGUGGUGGAGGGUUUAAGGGCUGUUCGCACUGUUGAUGUUGCUUUUGCGCCCCCUGGCUUGGUGACGGGAAGUCCUGUGGAUCCUCCUGUAAAUGAUUUGUGCGGUGGAACUACGAAGAAGAAGAUCUAUGUUAGACUUCUUCUCAGUAUUGACCGGCGGGAGACCACUGCAGCUGCAAUGGAAACCGUCACGCUUGCACUGCAAAUGAAAGAUUUGGGGGUAGUUGGUAUUGACCUUUCCGGAAAUCCCAUCAUAGGAGAUUGGAUAACAUAUUUGCCUGCUUUAAAAUUUGCUAGGGAAAAAGGCUUACCGAUUACUCUUCAUUGUGGAGAGGUACCCAAUCAGAGAGAAAUCCAAGCAAUGCUAGGCUUCCUUCCUGAGAGGAUUGGUCAUGCUUGUUGCUUUGAAGAGGAAGACUGGGGAAUGUUGAAGUCAUCCAAAAUUCCGGUUGAGAUUUGUUUGACAUCAAACAUCCGGACUGCAACAGUUCCAUCUAUAGAUGGUCAUCAUUUUGCUAAUCUGUACAAUGCAAAACAUCCUUUGGUACUAUGCACCGAUGAUACAGGCGUAUUCUCUACCAGUCUUACCUGUGAAUAUAUGCUUGCUGCUUCUACAUUUGGUCUUGGAAAGACUGAAAUGUUUCAGCUAGCAAGGAGUGCAAUUCAGUUCAUAUUUGCUGGCGAUGAGAUGAAGAGUAAAUUGAAAGAGAUUUUUGAUUCAUCUGCAAGGAGGCUGGAUCUAUGACUUUAAUUGUGUUUGAGGAGCUAAUAUAACUAUUGCGGAUUGCCAAUUCAGAGGCGGACUGCUUACCUGAGCUGAGAUUUUUCUAGAAGCUCUUACGACCUUAUUUUCCUUCGUACUUUUCUUUUUCUCCAUGUUUUUUUUCCUUUUUGUUUCUAAAUCAUGUACUUUCCUUGCUUUUUUUUUUUUGGAAUAGAUUUCCUCAUGGAAGAAAAUCAUACACUUUUUCCGAAACAAAAGCAAGAGAAAGAGAGAGGGAAACUGACUACAAACUACAAAAUAACACCAAGGGCCACCUAAGGAUGCCUAAACCUGUAGCUGGAUAGCCUGGAUUCUCAAGAUAACAAAAACAACUUAUUGAACCUCGGAUGUGAACCGAGCUAGAAAAAUAUAUUGUAGCCAUAAUAGUACACUUUAUUCCAUUAUGAUGCGAUCCAAUAGCUGUAAAGCAAAAAUAGUUCUUAUUGAACCUAGCAUUUUAUUUGUGCAAUCAUCAGAACUUCGAUGCAGCCUUUGAUAUCUAUUUCGGUUGCUCUUA